GUGUAAAAUGAAUCAUGUGGUUGAAUCACGUGAGAAUAAAUGAAUCGGGUGUACAAAAUGAAUCAUGUGGUGGAAUCACAUGCGAGAAUAAAAGAAUCGUGUAAAAUGAAUCAUGCGGUGGAAUCACAUGUGAGAAUAAAUGAAUCGGGUGUAAAAUGAAUCAUGCGGUGGAAUCACAUGCGAGAAUAAAAGAAUCGUGUAAAAUGAAUCAUGUGGUGGAAUCACAUGCGAGAAUAUAUGAAUCAGGUGUAAAAUGAAUCAUGUGGUUGAAUCACGUGAGAAUAAACAAAUCAGGUGUAAAAUGAAUCAUAAGAAAAUUCACGUGAAAAAAAAAAAACUAAUACAAUUAGUAAUAGUUAGAUCAUUUUACUGAAAACCGUGUCAAACCUUUGUCAGAUUGUUGUCUACGCUGGUUUUGUUUUGAGCGUAUACACGCUGAAGGAUUCGAUUUCAGACAUCAGCAGUGCUUAGUUCCACACAGAACCAACCGUUUGAUCUGAUUUGAUAAGUUUUAGAUGAAUACUUCUAAAUUAGUAGAUCAUACUUCUGUACGAUGUUAUUGUUUAAUAGCUGGUGAAAUGUGGACGGUUCUCGCAGUUUUGGCGGGAGGCGUUAAUUGGAGAAGGCCGUAUGUGGCGGCCCAGCGAGGGAGCACCAAAACCGGAUUAUCUCCUUAAGAUGAUCUUCAAUAUGGCUGCCAAUUCCUCACGGGUCAGCGGAUAUUCACACCCUCUGUCAUCUGCUGCUCAUCUCCACUGUGUGUGUUUCGUCCAACCGCCAAUUAGCCAGACUGGAGCAAUAAAGCAUAUGAUUCAAUUCUGCUGGAGCACUAAGGGUGAAUUGAACACAGUACGAGUGUACAGAAUCAGGCCAACAAACUUCACAAAGAAAAUACUACAACGCACGCUACGUUGCUUCGCGUAUAAUAAUCUGCUCUAUCGUGUCAUAAAAUUGACCGCAACCUUAGCCAAGUUAUCUGUAACCAAGGUAACAUGAUUUUAAGAUGUUGCUGAUUCAUAGUAGUGCUCUGUAGCAGAUGCUUAUCACUAAGAAGAUGAUUGCCUAGCAGGCUGUUAGCUAAAUCUUUUUUGAUAUUUAACGACUUUCUGUUCCAGCGACUAUCUAAAAUGGUAAUGGUUAGCUAGCAUGACAUUUUCUGUUCUAGCGACUAAAUCAGAUCGCAACUGCUAAUAAGAUGAUUAGCUACAAGGCUGUUAGCUAGAAAUUUUAGCGAAAAUUAUUACAUACAGGCUAUUAGGUAGGUAUUUUAUAGAUUAGCAAAAUUAUGACAUCAUCUGCUCUGUUCUGUUCUAGUGCCUCUCUGGAUUUGGUUCUUUUUUUCCCGCUAAAAAUUUAAUUUAAAUGUUACUGAGUGCUCGUGUGGGUAACGUCAGGAGAACACUGUUGCUGUGCAACUGGGAAACACGGGCUCCAAGCGCAAGCUAGCUGAAGACUGAGAAUAACAGUAAUAACUAGCUGCCUCGUAGCUGAUAGGUCUUUAAAUAAGUACAAAGUACAAACACGACGACGGCGUAAAGGAGACAAACUGGUGGACAAUGUCAACAUUUACCUCAGACGUGUUGCUAAGAAAAUACUCUGACUGACCAAAAUGGCACAGUGAUUACACUUAGCUUCGGAUGCUAACCUAAAUUCCAUCGGCUCUGACAUCAUUUGAAUGCAUAUAAAACGUGUAUGACUGAAUAUGAAUUUUACACAACAUUAAAAUGAAAUAUUACUGAACUUUCUGCAUUUGGCUUACAUCAUUACGCUUCUCUCGUUAUUAUAAACCUUUAUUUAAGCGUCUCCGCAGAUAAGUCGAGACGUUCCUCUGCGUCCCAGAUCCUCACGUCAACCGCACGUCUAGUGCCAGCUAGUUCUUCUUCUGCGUUUUAUUAAAUAAAAAAAGCAGUCACGCUGAUAAACAUUUUCUUAGCACUCCGAAACGAGGUGAAGUUAUCUUCCUAGCUGUAAAUCUACAAAAGGAAAGAAAAAAAAAAAAAAACUUUAUUAUCCCCUUUGACUGAUGAUAAACAGACUCCAUAUUUGCAUCAGCGCCAGGGAGCGGCUACUAUCUGGAAGCCCGGCGUGAUUAAUGAAAGCGGGAUAGCUCGGAUAGCAAACUUCCCGAUAAAAAGUCUUUCAAAUAAUAAAUUGUAAACGUAGCAUCCAAGAAGAACAAGAAGAAGAUGGUAAUUCCGAGCAGUGGUUAGUGUUAGCAUUGGCGGCAGGUGGAGGUGCUACGUAGACGUAUCGUUCCGUAUCGUGCCGUAGGCCGUGUUUGGCUGACCUCUUCUGUUCUGAUUAGCCACAAGAUAGAGAGAAAAAGAAAAAAAAAUGAGAGGGAGAGAGAGAGAGAGAGAGAGCGGUGGGGGCUCGUUCUCUUCAGCGUGGUGUAACAGGAGCUACUGUAUUGCUAUCACCUGCAGCCCGGCACUGAAAGCCGAAGGAAAUUGAAAUGCCCAGAGAAGCCCGGCAGUAAUUAAUCAUUGCUCUGUGAAGCCUGUCAAGAUUCCUCCAGACACCUCGAUAUUGCCGUCAGUUGCACCUCUGCCAUCUGUAAUUGUUUAAAACGGUAACCCGAUCCUGGCGUGAGGUUCACGCAGACUUGAGAAGCUCACGCUAGCCGGCUGAAGACACCUACCUUACAGCCAGGCUUUCCAAAAAAAAAAAAAAACCUGUUUUUCUCUGCAGCAAAAGCUAUUUUAAGUAUCAAAAUAAUUCAAAAUUUUCAAUAUAUUUCAAUCCAGUAUUGCUUGUAGUUUCACAGAUUUUGUUAGCAAGUUGGCUAAUACAAGCAAACUGACAGGAUGCGAUAAUUCAUACGACUGUUUCAUUAACCGUCACUGCUAAUGCUAGCUAGCGAACGUGAACUAACCUGACAGGAGUUCUGAGAGGAUUUCAAUUUGUGUAACUGUGCAUCAUCUUUAGGCUAAUGCUAGUCGGCUAACAAACACGAGGCUGACAUUAUUUCUGAGAGGAUUUUCAUUUGUACAAGUGUUUAUAAUCGUCAGCUAGCAGACGUGAACUAACCUGACAGGAGUUCUGAGAGGAUUUUAAUUUGUAUAACUGAUUGAUUAUCUUCACUGCUAAUGCUAGUCAGCUGGGGAAGGUACUGUAAGAUAACUGUGAGUACAAUCAUAAAAGUACUUCUGAUGGUCUGUGUUUACUCGGGAUACAUGUGGGGCGUGGCUUCUAUCAAUCCUACUGAAAGAGGUGUGGCCUCCUUGCCUUUCAGUUUACGUGAAGGAGGUGUGGUUGUGUCCAUCAGUCCCAGUAAAGGUGGAAUGGCCUGUGUCCAUCAGUCCCAGUGAAGGAGGUGUGGCCUGUGGCCUUCAGUCCCAGUGAAGGAGGUGUGGCCUGUGUCCUUCAGUCCCAGUGAAAGAGGUAUGGCCUUUGUGUAUCAGUCCCAGUGAAGGAGGUGUGGCAUGUGUCCUUCAGUCCCAGAGAAAGAGGCAUGGCCUUUGUGUAUCAGUCCCAGUGAAGGAGGUGUGACCUGUGUCCUUCAGUCCCAGAGAAAGAGGUGUGGCCUUUGUGUAUCAGUCCCAGAGAAAGAGGUGUGGCCUGUGUCCUUCAGUCCCAGUGAAAGAGGCAUGGCCUUUGUGUAUCAGUCCCAGUGAAGGUGUGGCUUGUCCCACCAGUCUUACUGGAUUACAGUUAAGAAGGCAUGGUUUAUGGCUUUCACGCCCUGUGAAGGAGGCGUGGCCUUUGUCAAUCCCAGUCAUGAAGGUGCAUAUUCCGUGUGCCUAAAAUCUGCAUCUGUGUUCUGGUUGAACCUGAAGUUUUCUGGACCAGAAAAUUCCAGACAGACACUUUAAAUGAAGAAACAACCAAAAUCCACUGCAUGGAAAUAUUGCAAAUCAUAUUUUUAAUUGUGUAUCUUUCAAAAAUAUGUAAUUGUUACAGAUUUUGGAAUACUUUUUAAAAUGACAAACUGCACCUUUAAUAACAGGCCACGUUCCUGCCAUCUGUAAAUGUAUUCUAUGUUCAUUUAUUUCUCACAAGAAGCUCAGUCUCAGGCCAGGUUUCUCAAUAGCGGGCCCCGUGAGACCCCUCGCGUAAUUUCCAUUAACCGGCUCAAUGCAAAUCUUUCACUUUUAGUCCACUGGGACAUUGGCACUGACGGGCAUUCGCUUACAGGAACAGAUGUCCAAGAAAUAUCAUCUCCUCCAGCGGGCCAAACGAUGACAAGCCGAGACGUUUCUGCUGGUUCUUUUCUUUUUUUUUGUUCUCCGCGAUUUUUGUUAUUUCUUUC
ensembl:lncRNA